rnacentral:rRNA from 1 species
AACGAACGCUGGCGGCAUGCCUAACACAUGCAAGUCGAACGAGACCUUCGGGCCUAGUGGCGCACGGGUGCGUAACGCGUGGGAACCUGCCCUUAGGUUCGGAAUAACUCCCUGAAAGGGGUGCUAAUACCGGAUAAUGUCUUCGGACCAAAGAUUUAUCGCCUUUGGAUGGGCCCGCGUAGGAUUAGCUAGUUGGUAGGGUAAAAGCCUACCAAGGCGACGAUCCAUAGCUGGUCUGAGAGGAUGAUCAGCCACACUGGGACUGAGACACGGCCCAGACUCCUACGGGAGGCAGCAGUGGGGAAUAUUGGACAAUGGGCGAAAGCCUGAUCCAGCAAUGCCGCGUGAGUGAUGAAGGCCUUAGGGUUGUAAAGCUCUUUUACCCGGGAUGAUAAUGACAGUACCGGGAGAAUAAGCUCCGGCUAACUCCGUG